GACGAACGCUGGCGGCGUGCUUAACACAUGCAAGUCGAACGGUAAGGCCCUUCGGGGUACACGAGUGGCGAACGGGUGAGUAACACGUGGGUGAUCUGCCCUGCACUUCGGGAUAAGCCUGGGAAACUGGGUCUAAUACCGGAUAGGACUCCGGACUGCAUGGUCUGGGGUGGAAAGCUUUUGCGGUGUGGGAUGGGCCCGCGGCCUAUCAGCUUGUUGGUGGGGUGAUGGCCUACCAAGGCGACGACGGGUAGCCGGCCUGAGAGGGUGACCGGCCAGACUGGGACUGGGCUACGGCCCAGACUCCGACGGGAGGCAGCAGUGGGGAAUAUUGCACAAUGGGCGCAAGCCUGAUGCAGCGACGCCGCGUGAGGGAUGACGGCCUUCGGGUUGUAAACCUCUUUCAGCAUCGACGAAGCGAAAGUGACGGUAGGUGCAGAAGAAGGACCGGCCAACUACGUGCCAGCAGCCGCAGUAA
rnacentral:rRNA from 1 species